UACGUAGGGGGCUAGCGUUGUCCGGAUUUAUUGGGCGUAAAGAGCUCGUAGGUGGUUCGGUAAGUCGGGUGUGAAACCUCCAGGCUCAACCUGGAGACGCCACCCGAUACUGCUGUGACUGGAGUCCGGUAGGGGAGCGUGGAAUUCCUGGUGUAGCGGUGAAAUGCGCAGAUAUCAGGAGGAACACCAGCGGCGAAGGCGGCGCUCUGGGCCGGUACUGACACUGAGGAGCGAAAGCGUGGGUAGCAAACAGG
rnacentral:rRNA from 1 species